rnacentral:rRNA from 1 species
GACGAACGCUGGCGGCGUGCCUAAUACAUGCAAGUAGGACGCAGUUGCGAACGGGUGAGUAACGCGUAGGUAACUGCCUAUUAGAGGGGGAUAACUAUUGGAAACGAUAGCUAAUACCGCAUACUAGUAGAUGGACCUGCGUUGUAUUCGCUAGUAGGUAGGGUAAUGGCCUACCUAGGCGACGAUUAAUAGCCGACCUUGGAGGGGGAGCGGCAAAACUGGGACUGAGACAAGGCCCAGAAGCCUACGGGAGGCAGCAGGAGGGAAUCUUCGGCAAUGGGGGGAACCCUGACCAAGCAACGCCGCGGGAGUGAAGAAGGUUUUCGGAUCGUAAAGCUCUGUUGUUAAGGAAGCGGUACUUAACCAGAAAGGGACGGCUAACUACGUGCCAGCAGCCGCGGUAAUAC